GAUCCUGUUGUAGAGGUGUCCAGGCAGCCCGACGCGGCCGAAGUACUCCACCACCAUGGAGAGCAGAUGUCAAAUUUCAGGAGAGACGAGAUCACCUUGCACAAGGUAGGCAUGCCCAGCGCUCAGUGUCUGCAGGGCCAGGCCGUGGAACAGAGGGGACACCUUCUGGAUUGACUUUUUGGUGGAUAAGAAGCUGAAGAAGACACACAGCUCAGGAAAAAAAAAAAGUGGCAGCUGGUCACCAAUGGGGCAAUGAGGAUUUUUAAUACCCGUGGACACUUUUUUUGAAGAAAAAAAUGUGUGGUAAAAUCCGCAUAGCAUAAAUGUACCACCUUAGCCAUUUUGUCAUGUUAAGCACAUUUGCAUGUUGUGCAACCAUCACACUAUCCAUCUCCAGGACUCUUUUCAUCUUGCAAAACUGAAACUCUGUACUCAUUGAACAACAACU